rnacentral:rRNA from 1 species
GAACGCUGGCGGCAGGCCUAACACGAUGCAAGUCGAGCGGUAGAGAGGUGCUUGCAUCUCUUGAGAGCGGCGGACGGGUGAGUAAUGCCUAGGAAUCUGCCUAGUGGUGGGGGAUAACGUUCGGAAACGGACGCUAUACCGCAUACGUCCUACGGGAGAAAGCGGGGGGAUCUUCGGACCUCGCGCCAUUAGAUGAGCCUAGGUCGGAUUAGCUAGUUGGUGAGGUAAUGGCUCACCAAGGCGACGAUCCGUAACUGGUCUGAGAGGAUGAUCAGUCACACUGGAACUGAGACACGGUCCAGACUCCUACGGGAGGCAGCAGUGGGGAAUAUUGGACAAUGGGCGAAAGCCUGAUCCAGCCAUGCCGCGUGUGUGAAGAAGGUCUUCGGAUUGUAAAGCACUUUAAGUUGGGAGGAAGGGUAGUAACCUAAUACGUUGCUACUUUGACGUUACCGACAGAAUAAGCACCGGCUAACUUCGUG